AAGGCGAAAUCCGAAAAGCCUGUUUUAAAUAGAGUAGGAG
rfam:Polaribacter sp. SA4-10 genome.